rnacentral:rRNA from 1 species
GUCCAUCCUUCGGGAGAAGACUAGUGGCGAACGGGUGAGUAACACGUGAGCAACCUGCCCCGAAGACCGGGAUAACAGCGGGAAACCGCUGCUAAUACCGAAUGCCCCCACCGGGCCGCAUGACCUGGUGAGGAAAGCCUGUCUCUUGUAGACAGACGCUUCGGGAGGGGCUCGCGGCCUAUCAGCUUGUUGGUGGGGUAAUGGCCUACCAAGGCGACGACGGGUAGCUGGUCUGAGAGGACGAUCAGCCACACUGGGACUGAGAUACGGCCCAGACUCCUACGGGAGGCAGCAGUGGGGAAUCUUGCGCAAUGGGCGAAAGCCUGACGCAGCAACGCCGCGUGAGGGAUGAAGGCCUUCGGGUUGUAAACCUCUUUCAAGCAGGGACGAUAAUGACGGUACCUGAAGAAGAAGCACCGGCUAACUACAUGCCAGCAGCCGCGGUAAUACGUAGGGUGCGAGCGUUAAUCGGAAUUACUGGGCGUAAAGCGUGCGCAGGCGGUUUUUCAAGUCUGAUGUGAAAUCCCCGGGCUUAACCUGGGAACUGCGUUGGAAACUGAAAGACUAGAGUGCGGCAGAGGGGGGUAGAAUUCCACGUGUAGCAGUGAAAUGCGUAGAUAUGUGGAGGAAUACCGAUGGCGAAGGCAGCCCCCUGGGUCGACACUGACGCUCAUGCACGAAAGCGUGGGUAGCAAACAGGAUUAGAUACCCUGGUAGAAUCACUAGUGAAUUC